rnacentral:rRNA from 1 species
AGUGAACGCUGGCGGUAGGCCUAACACAUGCAAGUCGAACGGCAGCACAGUAAGAGCUUGCUCUUACGGGUGGCGAGUGGCGGACGGGUGAGGAAUACAUCGGCAUCUACUUUUUCGUGGGGGAUAACGUAGGGAAACUUCCGCUAAUACCGCAUACGACCUACGGGUGAAAGCAGGGGAUCUUCGGACCUUGCGCGAUUGAAUGAGCCGAUGUCGGAUUAGCUAGUUGGCGGGGUAAAGGCCCACCAAGGCGACGAUCCGUAGCUGGUCUGAGAGGAUGAUCAGCCACACUGGAACUGAGACACGGUCCAGACUCCUACGGGAGGCAGCAGUGGGGAAUAUUGGACAAUGGGCGCAAGCCUGAUCCAGCAAUACCGCGUGGGUGAAGAAGGCCUUCGGGUUGUAAAGCCCUUUUGUUGGGAAAGAAAAGCAGCAGGUUAAUACCCCGCUGUUCUGACGGUACCCAAAGAAUAAGCACCGGCUAACUUCGUG